rnacentral:rRNA from 1 species
UACGUAGGGGGCGAGCGUUGUCCGGAUUCAUUGGGCGUAAAGCGCUUUAAGGCGGUUCGCUAAGUCGCGUGUGAAACCUCCAGGCUCAACCUGGAGACGCCACGCGAUACUGGCGUGACUAGAGUUCGGUAGGGGAUCACGGAAUUCCUGGUGUAGCGGUGAAAUGCGCAGAUAUCAGGAGGAACACCAGUGGCGAAGGCGGUGAUCUGGACGACUCCUGACACUGAGGCACGAAAGCUAGGGGAGCAAACAGG